UGUAUGCAUACUAAGGAAAACCAUUCAAGAUUACCUUUUUCGGUACAAAAUCUUCUAGGCAAAAAUACAGAAGCUUGGAACAAGAUGUAUUAUAUGUUUUUUUGUUUUGUUUUAUGUUUAUGUUGUAUUGUAUAGUGCUUUUUAUAGCCAUGCGUUCAGAGUUCAAAGGUGAGACAGACGAAAUAAAAUCAUUGGAGAUUUCUACCUCAUAUCUCAAGAUGACGUUCAUCUUGAGGUAUUUACAGGCUACAAUAACCCGAUAAUUAUUGACAGGCCAUGAGCAGGUUUACCGAUAUAAUAAAAUGCAAUCAGAAAAGAAAAAAAAAAAUAAGAAGCUACUUACGUACGAUUUUCGUGUUACCGUGGAAUAUUCUGACUGAGCCGUUUGAUUAAAAUUUCAUAAUGACAACGAGGUCUCCCGUUUACAUCUAAGAGUUUUUAAUCUAAUAGUCACAAGGUGAUUUAAGCGAAGCGGUGGUGAAACUCGGCAUUAAUUUCCUUUCAUUUUAUCCAAUUUCCUAUCCUUGCCGAGCAACGCCUUCCACCUCUGAGGUAGAUUAAACUCACGUGGAAUCAAAUACGAACUGCCUAGCUGCCUCCGACAGGAAAAUGUUGACUAUAGAUACGAGUUAUAAUACAUUUUUCUGAACUAUUUCCUUCUCGUAAAUAGCUUCGGUCGUACUCUGUCAAGUCAAUAUAUUCCGUUGAGGUAAUCCUUUGACUCCUGCAGCACUAGUGUGUACAUAAUCGAGUUUUAUGUACAAACGAGUGUUUUUUUCUAUAAUACAAUGACUAACGUAUUUUUUCUUUGACAUUAUAGUUAUAUACAUUUGAUGCAAUAAAUACAAUUAAUUCCGUCUCAGUACAAAAAUAAAACACAUAGUGUUGAAACUUUAAAAACGAUUUAUGCAAUAAACAAACAAAAAAAGUGUAACAAAUAAUGUGCGUGAACAUUAUUACAGUGUGCUAAAAUGACUUUGGAAUAUGUCGAAUACAAAGAACAGAUUUACGUGAAUAGUGUAAACGAUAAAACGAUAUGGGAUGACUCAUAGUGAAAAAUGUAAUGUGCUACCCACUAUCCGGUCCGAAGAUGAUGCGCGAAAUUCACGACAAUGCUGGGGCAGGCGCAGGCGGCGGGAUGGAGGGAAGCGAGGGCGGAGGGAGUGGGGGUGCCGAGGUCGAUAUGGACGACUGUGGUUCCCUUGCUCUUCCACCAGACUUACCACCUUAUUCUGGCGAUUACAUCAUCAACGAUUAUAUGGAACGCCUCGGCACACGUCUUAACAUCCUCGAGACGGAAUUGAAAUAUGCAUGGAGGGCCCUCGAUCUCUUAAGUCAAGAAUAUGUGAGAAUGUGGGAACGGUUGGAAAGAUUAGAAGCAUUGCUCGCAGAUCAACAGGGUGUAAUAUCAACUUUGCUCGAUUUCUAUACGUGUCGAAAUGUUGUUGCUAGAGAUCCAAUGACACGGCUCGAAGUUAUCCGAGAAAUUUUAGGAAAUGGAACUGUGGAGGAUGGUAUAGAAGAAGGGUUGGAUAUUGGAAGAACUUCAGCACUUUUGGAUAGUCAAGAAGAAAUAAUGGAAUCCAACGAAGCAUUUUAUAAGAGUCUAAACCAAGCGUAUAGAGACGAUUUGGUAUGUGAUGAUGCUUCUAGACCUACUUCACAAUUGGAUAUGAUAUGGGAAGCUCCAGAAGAAACAGACAUUGAAAUUGUUCCUACAGGUUCAAGACAAAUUUAUAGUUCGACUGACUAUAAAGAUUAUCGCGGUAUGCAAGGAGGACCCGGCAUCAGCGAAAGAGAUUUAGUGCAUUUAUCAACUUUAAGCACUAUAGAUCAAAUUACAGUAGAUAAAUUACAUGAGUUAGAUAGGUUAACAUCUCAAUUACAAAACGAAUCUAGAGAGAUUAGGGAUUUAAAAACCAGGCUACUGACACCAGAGCCCAAAAUUACAAAAAUUGAUAGGGAAAUUGAAGCAAAAGCUCUUGCAGAAGACGGGAAUAUAAUAAACGAACAAUUAAAGGGUGUUUAUUCGGGAGGUGAAGGUUGGGGAAUGAAUGAAAUGAUGAAAAGUUUUGAUGACUUUAUGCUAAAUAUUCCUAAAGAUGGUACUGGUAGAGAUAAAUCACCAUCUAGGCUGUCACUCACCGACAAUGUUGUUGCUGAAAGAUCAAUGGAUUAUUUACAACAAAAUCUAUCGCCUCGUCGAAAGUUCGUCCCCGAAAGAACGACAACAGAGCCAUACACUACAGUAACUGGUCGUUUGGCAUAUAGUUCUGCUGUUGCAAAUGCUGAAAUAAAUGCAGCAAAGGCAUCAAAAUCACCUAGUGCUCUGUCAAGAGAACGAUUUGAAUACAGUUCAACUUAUCAAGUAUGUGAUGGUUCCAGACCAAAUUAUUAUUCGAACAAAAUAAGUCAAAAAACUUUGUCAGAUUUAUACAAAACGAAUUCCCAGCAACAUUCUCCUCUAUCGGUAAAUGAAAUAUAUGAUGAUCCAGUUGAUACUAGAUUAGAUUUGACGUACAAUGAAAGUGCAUUACGUAAGUCUCCUAGUCCACCUCCUCCAGCUCCAAAUACAACUGAUGUUUUUCCUUGUUUAGAAAAUAAUAAUGAUCUAUCAGCUAAUCAUGUUAUGUUAUCAACGAUGAAUGUAAUGACAUCUGAUAACAUGAGGCUAAGUCCCAGAUCACCUAAAUCACCUAAAACUUCACCAAAACACGUCAAGAGAGACAGUACUAACAUUGUCGCUGCAAAAUCUGAUUCUGGCCUGUCAUCCAUGAGCGGGUGGUCAAGCUUAGAAAAGAGUCCCGGAUCACCAAAAACAGGCAGACUGUCACAUGUUAGUCAUGAUGUCUACAAAAUGAAAAUGACAUCACCUCAAUCAGUGCAAAGAAUGCCCUAUGAACUUGAACCUAAGCCGUAUUUAGAAACUUUAGUCGACUCAUAUAUGUACGAAAACAAAAAUGUGAAAAUUGAUUAUAACUUACGAAGUAACGAGCAAUUGUUGAAAAACGUAUGUAGUUCAAGAGAUUUACAAAAAUUCCAAGAUAAGAUUGAAAGUGAUUAUUAUAAAAGUGAAAUGCAUUUUUCGGUAGCCAACCAAAUGACACAAGUCACCAAUAUUGGUGAAUAUUAUUAUAGUUCAGAAGUUGCCUCAAUAUAUUCUGUCGCUGGAAAUAGACAACCAAUUUUUACAACAGUUUACAGUACCCCAAGAGGUAUGCUUCCUGACGAAAGGAAUUUUUCCGAAUUAUUAGAUAGUAAUGAAAUUUCUGAAUCAGUGCAAAGACCAUCAAUUGAUCCUUAUCCUCCAGAACCUAAUUAUCAUGCACAAACUGUGGUUAUGUCAGUAGCCAAUACAAAUAAUAAAAGAACUUUGACUCGAGCAAACACUAUGGGAGUGAGUGAAUCCCAGUACUUCCAAAAUGGUUAUAAAGUAUCAGGAACUCGAACUGGUUACCCACCCAGUAAUCUUACUGAUGCUCUUUCCUACUAUCCAACAUCAACAAGAUAUGAUUCUCCCAAAAGAAUAACGUUAGAAGAUCAACUUUCUUGGCAAGGAGGAAGUAGGUCACCUACAAGCUCACUUGAAACGUCGAGCUUGAAAUCACAUUCAUUAAGCAUAACAGAAAGAAAGCAGUUUCAAACUCAAUUGCAACAAGAGUAUUUUAAGCAACAACAAUUUGAUCAACGCAAUGGAAAUGUGAUGCACGAAAAUCAAGGAUACGAAAUACAAAGUAUGAACGAGCAUCAAAAAGUUAGAAAAGAUCAAUACGUAGAAUCGGGUGGCAUGCUGGUUUCGGAAUCUGGGUACCUAUCAAUUUCUUCUAAUUUAAAAGGCAAAAUCCAAGAAAAACAAUUAAAGAAACCGAAAAGAACUUCAUCGUUAAAGUCUGCCAUGUCUUCCAUGAGCCAAUGGCUACCAGACCUGCAUCUUCCUAAAAAACAUAGAUCACAUUCAUUGCCCUCUGGCGUAGACAACGUUGAACAACCAGUCCAGGAGAAAUCAUUAAAAGAAAGAAUAAUGUCAGCUCAGAGGAGAAAAAAGAAAUAUCAUUUGGUGGCAUCGAUGUCCGGCUUACUACAGAAAGCGAGACGAAAACAUCAAGCUAGUCAUCAGUCUUUGUCUGACCCCGAAACUUCUGAGACCGAAUGGUCAGGGGGUCGCUCCAGUGCCCAAUCUGAAGACAGCGAUAGUGUAUUUUCGGAUUCUGCUCAUGAGAAUAAUGUUUUUGCUAAAGUAGCAUCUAAACCAAAACAGAGAAAAGUCAAUAAUCAGGAGAUUGUGGAGCAACAACAAUUAAUUCAGGAUUUACAGGAAAAAGGUAUAGAAUUUAAGGAUGAUGACACAGAAUGCAUAAUUGAGGAGGAAGAAAAAUUUCCAUCUAAUAAUACUUUACCAAGGGAUAAAAGUGAUGAUAUAGAUUUCCAUUUUGCUCGUGUUAGUCAGAUGAAAAAAGAUAAUAUACAGGAAUUAGAGAAAUUGGAUAUUGACACAGAUAUUUCAAACGUUGACUUAUUCGAAGAGGACACCAUUGACCCUAACCAGUCGCCAGCCUCUAUAUUUGCAACUAUAGGCGAUGUCAAAAAAGCGAGUAUUACAUCAGACGAUGAAAAAAGUGAAGGAAACAAACCAUACAGUGCAAGCUCACAAGAAUUUGCAGUAUCACGAGCACUGGGUAAAUAUCGUUUGAGAAAGUCGACAUCUAUAUCAGAUGAACAAAUGGCCGAUAUAUCACCUCCUAAAUUAGACAAAGAAUUGCACGAACAAAGUAACGAUGAUAACAUGACAUCAAAAGAAAAAAAAAUUCGCAAGCCCACAACACCCGAGAUCGUAAAUAGUUCAGUAUCAGAAGAAAAUACGAUUUAUACAGAAAGAAGCCCGUCAAUGCAAAGUAGUCGAGGCAUUCAGAAUAAAUUUCAGCCUAGACAUCAACAAAGUUUGGAAAUUCCAAACAAGCAUGAUGAUGAUGACAGUCGAAGCACGCAUUCUUGGAGAAGUGGAUCUAGAGUUUCGUCUAGAAGACAAAGUACAGAAGACAGUAUUGACUCUGAAGACGAAUGGUAUUGUUAUGAAUUGAGGAAGUUGGAAGAAAUGGAGCACCAAUCUCAGUUAGAGGCUGAUAGACAUGACACGCUACCGGAAGAGCCCGAAUUUGAAGAUAUUAUGGAAGAGCCUCCUGAAGUUUUGAAAGAAAAAAUGUCUUUCGUACUCAGGGAAUUGAAAUUGAAAACAGCUCAAACGAAGACAAAGUAUGAUGAAUCUCCAAUGAAAGAAACAUGGAAAGAUAUAACAACUUUUCCUUCUAUCGAAGAAAGUGUUGAUAGUACUAAAGACCACGACCAAGAGUCUGAUGAUGACAAAUCUUACGCCGACACUGGAUCAGGUGAAACAUCAGGACCUGAUAGUCCUGUUGUAAGUGGCGAUGAAAUGGAUGACGAAUAUGAUAUGCCUCCGUCACCAAUUCCAGCGCGAAGGCAAGUACCAGUCCAGCAAGACACUACUGUUGGAAGCAAAUGGAAACUUUUGAAAGCUCUGAAAGAUCGUAAAGCCGAAGAGAAGACAACGGAAACUCCUACAGCGUCAACGCCGUCUGCUGAAAAAGACAAAGUCAGCGCAAGUAAUGGAUCCACCGGAUUUAGUGACCAAACAGGCCGAGGAAAUGGGCACCCUGGAGAUAAUCCAUUCUACAGUAACAUUGACAGCAUGCCCGACAUCAGGCCUCGAAGAAAAUCGAUCCCUCUUGUGUCAGAACUUGUUCUCAAGACUAUGGCUGCCACGAAAAGGAAUGCUGGAUUAACAUCAGCGGUACAUCGUGCAACACUUAAUGAUGAAGAGCUUAAAAUGCACGUUUACAAGAAGACACUUCAAGCCCUCAUCUACCCUAUAUCUUCAACAACCCCUCACAACUUUGUGCUGUGGACCGCCACUUCCCCCACUUAUUGCUACGAGUGUGAAGGGCUUCUAUGGGGUAUCGCACGACAAGGGGUCAGGUGUACAGAGUGCGGGGUCAAAUGCCAUGAGAAAUGCAAGGACUUGCUCAACGCUGAUUGCCUUCAGAUGUGUUUCGCAGGGGCUGCCGAGAAGUCUUCUAAGCACGGCGCGGAAGAUAAAGCUAAUUCGAUUAUAACAGCAAUGAAGGAAAGAAUGAAACAGCGAGAGCGAGACAAGCCCGAAAUAUUCGAACUCAUCAGGCGGACUUUUAACGUCGAUCCAGACACUCACAUUGACAGUCUCGAACAAGCCAAGCAAGUCACCAUUGAAGGGACUUCAAAAUGGUCUUGCAAGAUCGCCAUCACAGUUAUAUGUGCUCAGGGUUUGAUAGCGAAGGACAAGAGUGGGACCUCGGAUCCUUACGUAACAGUUCAAGUAAGCAAAGUGAAGAAAAGGACUAGAACUAUGCCUCAAGAACUGAACCCCGUUUGGAACGAGAAGUUUUACUUUGAGUGCCACAACUCCUCCGAUCGAAUCAAAGUGCGAGUGUGGGAUGAAGACAAUGAUUUAAAAUCGAAACUACGCCAAAAGUUAACCAGGGAAUCUGACGACUUCUUAGGACAAACCAUUAUUGAGGUACGGACAUUAUCCGGUGAGAUGGACGUUUGGUACAAUCUGGAGAAGCGCACGGAUAAAUCGGCUGUAUCCGGAGCUAUAAGACUUCACAUCAAUGUAGAAAUCAAGGGUGAAGAAAAGGUCGCUCCCUAUCACGUACAAUAUACCUGCCUCCAUGAAAACCUAUUUCACUAUCUGUGCGAAGAAAACGGAGGCGCUGUGACAUUACCAGCUGCGAGAGGUGACGACGCUUGGAAGGUUUACUUCAAUGAGAAUCCGGAGGAGAUUGUAGACGAAUUCGCUAUGAGAUACGGCAUCGAGGCUAUUUACCAAGCAAUGACACAUUUCCACUGUCUCUCGACGAAGUACCUUUGUCCCGGAGUGCCGGCUGUAAUGUCUACGCUAUUAGCUAACAUUAAUGCCUACUACGCGCACACGACAGCGUCAUCGGCUGUGUCUGCAUCAGAUAGAUUCGCGGCUUCAAACUUUGGGAAAGAGAAAUUCGUGAAACUGCUCGAUCAACUCCACAACUCUCUCAGAAUCGAUCUCUCGAUGUAUCGAAACAACUUCCCCGCUUCGAGUGCUGAGAAACUCAUGGACCUGAAGUCUACUGUUGACCUGUUGACCAGCAUCACUUUCUUCAGGAUGAAGGUCCAAGAGUUGAGCAGUCCUCCCCGAGCUAGCACAGUGGUUAAAGACUGCGUGAAAGCCUGUUUGAGGUCAACAUACCAGUUCUUAUUCGAAAAUUGCUACGAGCUUUACAAUAGAGAAUUUCAGGUAGACCCCAAUGAAGCAAAGCGUGACCCAGCUGACCACGGACCACAGUUAGACUCUGUCGAUUUCUGGCACAAAUUAAUAGCUCUCAUAGUGUCUGUUAUAGAAGAAGACCGAAAUAGCUACGCUCCCGUACUGAACCAGUUCCCGCAGGAGCUCAAUAUUGGACAGCUGUCCGCAGCCACAAUGUGGUCGUUAUUCGCAGUGGAUAUGAAGUACGCUCUGGAGGAACAUGAACAACACAGGCUCUGCAAGUCUUCCGCCUACAUGAAUCUCCACUUCAAAGUAAAAUGGCUGCAUACGAACUACGUGAAAGACGUCCCGCCGUACUGUGGCGCUGUGCCGGAGUAUCCGGCGUGGUUCGAACCCUUCGUGAUGCAGUGGCUGAAUGAAAACGACGACGUGUCCUUAGAAUAUUUGAACGGAGCAUUCAACAGAGAUAAACGUGAUGGGUUCCAAAAGUCCAGCGAGCACGCGCUCUUCAGCAACUCAGUGGUCGACGUGUUCACGCAACUGACGCAAUGCUUCGACGUGGUCUCGAAGCUGGAGUGUCCCGACCCUGAAAUAUGGAAACGGUACAUGAAACGUUUCGCCAAGACCAUAGUGAAGGUGCUGGUCGCGUAUUCGGAUAUCGUUAAGAAAGAAUUCCCAGAGCAUCUGAAAGAAGAACGGGUUGCCUGCAUCCUCAUGAACAACAUUCAGCAGCUGCGAGUGCAGCUAGAGAAGAUGUUCGAGGCGAUGGGCGGCACCAAGCUGGAGCGCGACGCGGCCGACAUCCUCCACGACUUGCAGCAGCGCCUCAACAGCACGCUGGACGAACUCGCAUCCAUGUUCGCUAAUAGCCUGGAGUUCAGAAUAACAGCGAGCGUGAAGGAUCUAGGAGACCUGCUACAGAAGGUGGGCGGAGGCGGAGCGCCCGGCGUCCCACAGCACCCCGCGCACCAGGAGGCUGAUGAGGUGCUCCGGCCCCUAAUGGAUAUCUUGGACGGUUCUCUUACUAUGUACGCGGAGUCUUGCGAGAAGACCGUCCUUAAGCGCCUUCUGAAGGAGCUGUGGAAGAUUGUCAUGAAGAUAUUAGAGAAAACCGUCGUACUCCCACCCAUGACGGAUAAAACGAUGAUGUUGAAGAACUUAACGAAUAACGCCAAGAAUUUAGCGGCGAACGCAAAGAUAGAGGACAUGACGCAGCUGUUCAAGAGCACCGUUGGCAAGCAGGACGUAAAGCACGCGCUCUCCGGCGUCAUGGACAUCUCUAAAGAACAUCUGUCAGCCGAGAAGAGCUUAACGCCGAAGCAAUGCGCGGUACUGGACGCGGCUCUGGACACCAUCAAGCAGUACUUCCACGCCGGCGGCAACGGACUCAAGAAGACUUUCUUGGAAAAGAGUCCAGAGCUCCAGUCGCUGAGAUACGCCCUCAGUCUGUACACGCAGACGACUGACACGUUGAUCAGGACCUUCGUUACCAGCCAGCAGAAUCAAGACGCCGCUGUUGCUGAGGAGGGAAGCGUCGGCGAAGUGUCCCUGCAAGUGGACCUCUUCACACAUCCCGGGACGGGAGAACAUAAAAUCACUGUCAAAGUGGUUGCGGCAAAUGAUCUCAAGUGGGUGAUCGCGAGUGGAAUGUUCCGUCCGUUUAUAGAGGUGAACCUGAUAGGCCCUCACUUGGCCGACAAGAAGAGGAAGUUCGCCACCAAAUCCAAGAGCAACAACUGGAGUCCCAAGUUCAAUGAAACCUUCCAUUUCAUGGUGAGCGCCACUGAGCAGCUGGAGUUGUUCGAGCUGCACGUCUGCGUGCGGGACUACUGCUUCGCGCGCGAGGACCGGCUCGUCGGCGUCGCGGUCAUGCGGCUCGCCGACAUCGCGGAGCAGCAGGGUUCGUGUGCCUGCUGGCUACCGCUCGGCACAAGGGUGAAGAUGGACGAGACGGGCUGGACGAUCCUAAGGAUACUUUCUCAAAGACACAGCGACGAAGUGGCUAGGGAGUUCGUCAAAUUAAAGUCGGAGAUGAGAGCCGAGGCGCCGGCCGGAGGUCAAGGACCCUCGUGAACAAAACUGACAACCAAAAGGGCCACAGCAUUCAGCAAAUCGCUCAACUUCACACUCGAAGGCUCUGCCCGAACUCACGUCCCGAGUUUCGGCUCGGGAACAGAGAUAGACAUACCCAACGCACAACGAGUGCGACUGAGAGAGACGACGCCAAUAAAACAGAGUACCAAUAACCAUUCGGCGCUCCGGCGGCUCCCGGUCAGUGCUCGUUAUAUCAUUUGUAGUCUCGAUUUCGAGAUGAGUUUUGUAAAUAAAAUUAUUGUAUUAUGUUACGCGACUAGGGGUAUGAUUUGCACAAAUUCGUAUUUCAUUAACAUUAGCAGAAAAGACUGACCGUAGGCGGCUGAGGGCGCCGCGGCGUUCCGCUGCAUUAGGCGAUCGGUAAAAGAACACUCAACACUGUAUUAGACACAGUGUUGCCAUGUUAAAAAAAUAUCCCCAAAUCGAAGGAUAUCCCAUUUAAAAUUCGACCUUCGUUGAGUUGAAAACAUUAAACAACACACACUUUUUGCGGAACUCCUAAUACAACGGACGCGGCAAAUACGCGAUUUAAGUAAUAAUAUUGAUAUGGACCAAACUGUCGUAAAAUACGGAUGAAUUAAUCCUUAAUCCUUAAAAUAUUAAAAGCAUUAUUUAUCUAAUUAAUCAUCUUAUCGUUAUAUGUGUACAGUGAAUAAUAUAUGGCCUUAUGUAAAUUAUUUCCUACGUUUGUUGGUAUUUGCUUCUGUCGAGUUGGUAAUCGUAUAUGAGUGUGUUAAUGAAUGUUCUAUAUGAUAUAAAUGCGUAUCUCUAUAUAUUAUUUUCUGUCGGUGACCGCGUGGUUUGUAGGUUAUCGCGAAAACAUGUUUAGGUGAUGUGUUCUGUAUCAUGGAAUUAAUAUAGUUAUAGUAAAAAAAAAUGUUAUUCUAAAAUGUAAGGUUUGUCAUUUUUUAUAUAAAUUGUUUUAGCGUCCCGUAUUGAUUGAUCUGAAUUUUGUCGUGGUCCACACUUACCAUUUUAUUUAUGUGACGAUUCUGAAAUGCAAAUACGGUACAUAAUGUUUAACGUUGGUUUUUUUGAAAUCGUUUCCGGUUUUAUUUAGUGACGUACGCGGCGUAUACAUCACAGGAUGUUACGUCAUUACGCGAGUGUAAUAAGAAGGUAACAGUUUCAAGAUUUCCUUUUUGCAUACCCAAUGAUUGAAUCAUGAGUCAUGUUAAUCACAGUUCGCUAUCGCUUCUCAACAAGCUUGGCCUCUGCGUGUACUCUCAAUAUAUUCUUGUAUAGUAAAAAUUGUGAUAUCGUCGUAAAUUUCCCGUUGACUUCAUACUCUCCUCUAUCAAUAUACUGUUUAAAAUACAAUUCAAUAUACAUGUAUAACUGUUAUGAUUUUCUUUUUUAUGUUCAUUGUUCAGAUAAUAGAUUAAGUAACUUAAUUAUUAUUUUUUACAUUUAGAAAACUAAACACAUAAGACACAGUCCACAAUAUAUACGUUACUCAUUAUUAUUUAUAUAUUAUAUUAUUAUUUAAAAAUUUGUGUACAUUUUCAAUACCACCUUAAAUUCUUGUAUUAUAAUACAUAAUUGUUUUUAUCUUUCAUUAUCAUUGUUUGAUUUCUAUAUCUUUUUUUUUUAAAGCACGCGGAAUUUUCCCGUAAUUCUUGGAUAUUUUUAAUGCUGGUCACAAAAAGUGGUAUUGAAAGUAUACAGGUUGUAUAGAGUAUACCAAUAGUAAAUGUUACGGGACUUAGAUUUUUUAUUAUAAUUAACGUUUAUCAUGGAUUACAUAUCUGUAGAUAGAUAAUGUGGUUCAUCUAUAGUCCAAAUCUGAAUAAUAUACGUUAAAUAUUACUCGUCUUUAACUAUUUAAUAAAUAAUAAUUUUAUUUAAUAAUUCCAUUUCCGACUUGACUGAUUCUUAUUAAUAUAUGUCAUAGACAAAUUUAAUGAAAAUUUCUUAUUACGCCAUUGACAUAGUUCUCUUUAAUCUGGGUACGAUGACAAGAUACAAGCGUAUAUUUCUACGUUGAAUAGAUUUAUGUCAACAUACUAGACUAUAAUUAUAACUGAUCCAUUAUUUCAACAUUAAACGAAAAAAUCGAUUAUAAAUUUAAUCAUGUUGUUUUAAACCGGUUUUUUUAAUUAAGGCAAAGGUGUUUUAAUUGAGAUAUGAAAUCGGAUUUUGUCGCUUUAUAAUUCACGCACUGUUAACACAAGAAAAAAACUAAGAACCAAUACCAGUAUUACGAUCAGUUUUGAUUGGGUAUUACAUGACAAUUAUACACGGGAAUUUAAGAAAAGGUUUUUUUUCUCAAUAAAACGCGCACAUUCCAUUGUACCAUCAUACUACGACUCGUUGGCGAUGAUAAUACACGUACAUAAAAUAAAUUUAAAUAAAAUCAAAAUAGGAAACAUGAUCAAUAACACUGUUAUUAAAAAACCGGCUUUUGUUUACAGAUUUUUUUUAGUUUUACCGAUUUUUUUUUCAUUCAUUACCAACGAGUCAAAACGUCGACACAUGAACUUCACCAUAUUUUGACAAUACUUUGUAAACCUUUGGUAAGUGUAACCGGUGAUCGUAUCACGCGCAUCACAAAAUGUUACGCUCCAGUUUUAGUAUUAAUAAAAAAAAUCACUAAAACAUUGCAUAUAUCUUUGUAUAAAAAUGCAUAUAUGUAAAUGUUACAUGUUUAAACACAUUAUUGAAUUUAGAAUUUUUAUGAAAAAAAUAAAUAAAUAAAUAUCCGUA